GACGGAGGGGGCAAGCGUUGUUCGGAAUUAUUGGGCGUAAAGGGCUCGUAGGCGGAUCCGCCAGUCUGACGUGAAAUCUCCACCGCUCACCGGGGAGGGGCCGUUGGAUACCACGGAUCUGGAGUUCGGCAGAGGACCAUGGAAUUUCGGGUGUAGCGGUGGAAUGCGUAGAUAUCCGAAAGAACACCGGUGGCGAAGGCGGUGGUCUGGGCCUGAACUGACGCUGAGGAGCGAAAGCCAGGGGAGCAAACGGG
rnacentral:rRNA from 1 species